rnacentral:lncRNA from 1 species
AAACCAUAUUUUGAAAUAAAUUCACCCUGGCCAUAUGUCCCUUCCAAAUGCAGUUGAGUCCUAUGAAUAGUCUAGAGAAAUAUUAGAGGCAUCUGUGAUUUGGUUUAGGAAUUAGAGGUACAAAAAUCGUAAACCACAUAGAAAUUCAUUUUCUACUUAAACAUACAUAAAAGUGGAAGAGAGAACAAGAUUUAGUGGUGUGUCUCCAAAAUACACAAAGAAUUCUGAAAUCUUAAUUGUAUAAAGCUCAAUAAAAAUGAAUACAAUAUGGAUAAAAGUUCCACUAGGUUUAAUGUGUGGUUGAGAGAUGAAAGUUGGGGGAAGUGGGGAGGAAUACAUAGAAGCCUGUGGUGAUCUUCAAGGACAAAACUGUCCAUUAUUUUAGUCACUGGAUAUUUUGACAUGAACAGUAAUAUGCACAUAUCAAAUAUGAAAACUUUACACGUUGUAUUUAAAUACAUGUUAUUUACUAUGCUAUUAUAUUUAUGCCAAACAAAACUCUCGUGUAAAUGAGGAAACCUAUCAAUUUAUGCAUCCCACAAAUUCAAAUAUUCUUGGUCAUAGGUAUUAGAAUUAAUUAGUUUAUUCCUCCAGGACAUGUUAAAUGUAAAAACCCACAUAAUACAUUGCUCUUUAUAAUUCUGUCCUGGGUGAGAGAUAAAAUGAUAGUAAAGUGGGCCCCUAAUAGCACAGCUUCCACUUCCUAGCAACUUCCUGUGUUGGCUUACGUUCUCCUAUUAGAACAUUUAAUAGAAUGAGGAAGUAAGUCUUAAUGGAGAGAUAACCAGUGACUGAAGCUUUAUUAAAAACAAUGCAUAAUCUUAAUUUAAUGAUGUAUCCUAUUCUCUUGAAAUAAUUUUAAUGCAUUCUCUAAUAAGAAUCUAUACAAAUAAUGAAUAUUAAUGAGUAUUAGCAAAAACACUUUUGCAUAAUCUCACCCUGUUAUAUUUUGUUAUUGCUGUUCUAUCUUUACUGAUUUCCCAAGUAUGAGUUUUGCUUAUUUCUAAUGUCUUGCUAUUAAGUUAUAUGUUCCUCAAAAGAACCCUUGAGAUUUUGUGACAUGAAGAAAGGCAAAAGUUGACAAACAUAUUAAUGAUUAUUUUAAAAAUCCACUAAAUGUUUGGAUGUACGGUUCUUUCCAAAAAAGAGAAGGGGAGAAGGAGGAGGAGGAAGAGGAGGAAGAGGAGGAGGAGGAUGUCAUCAUUCUAGAGGCUGGGGAGAUGAGUUCUUGGAGCUUAGUUUCUAGUGCCCAAGUCAGAUAGCUCACAAUCACCUCACCUCUUAGACAGUAACUCCUGUGGUAUUAACAUUCAUACAACCACACAUAUUCAUACACUUAGCUAAUUAAAAAAGAAGUCAUUGCAUAAUGUCUCCUUCUAACUUUCUGAGAUGCUCUGCAGUACAACUGUGUACAUAUGAGUGUGAACUGGGCAUGAGUAUAGUUGUUACACAGAUCAUUCAAAGCGUGUAUUUGCUGUAUAUAAAAUGAUUGGAUUACAUUCAUACUUAUAAUGUCUAGAUCAACUUUCCCCCCUUAUUCCUCUGCCUCUACAUUUUGCAGCUAACUUCUCCUUUAUUGGCGUUCAUAAAGUGACUACUUUAGUAUGAAAGAACAAGAAAUCCAAUAAGCUAUCAAGUGUGCAGUCCAUUUGCCUGCCAGCAAGAAAAGCAGGAAAAUCUACUUCACAUAUGAUUGUGGAGAACUGCCUCAUAUUCCUCUGGGAAAGCUGAUAUCAUAAAAUCAUAUUUGGGAACAUAAUGAUGGCAGAUGUUUACAUUAAAUUACAAGUCAUGUUGAGUGCAUGCAUAUGAGAUAAUAAUUUCAAAAAUAAUCUGUGUAGAAAAUAGAACUGGUAAAAUUUCCCUCAUAAAGAAUCUAAACUUUAAAAAUGAGGAACAAGCCACUGUCGAAUCAAGCACUUUUAAAUUUGUCUCAAAUUCCUAUUUUCCUAUCACUUAGUAACUUUCAGCAGUAUUUUUUAGCAUGCUUGACAGUUUUAUUUCAAGAGAAAAAAAUCACUUGCAGAAUGGCAACUAAAGUAUGUAUCUGAAGACAGAAAGAGACUCAUAAAUUUGAGAAAAAAAAAAGUAUUAAAUACUAAAGAAGAAGCAAAUAAGAAUCAGUAUCUUCUAAAAAAUAGUUCAGAGCAAACAAUAACCAAAAGUUGCUUAUUUCAUAACAGUUUCUGCUCCUUGCAUUUUAUUUCAUUUCAAAUGAACCAGCAAUUACUUAUGCUGCUCACAAAUCAUUGCUUCUGGAGGUUUUAGAAGGUCUAGCAAAUUUAAGAUCAAAGUAACUUGUUUCUUUGACAGGGCAAUGGUUAAAAGAAAUCUACUAUAAGUACCUGAGAGAAAUCACCAAUUAUUUGUCUGUGAGUGAUAAUGAAAAAUAAGGGUUACAAUUGAUUUUCAGGAUUCUAACUGCAUGCAAAGAAUCAAUACAGAGCAUGUGAAUCAUAUUAUUGAAAUUAUAAAUAUUAGUUGAAUUCUCGCUUUUUAAAAUUUUGUCAAGAAAAUUUCAUUUAUAUGGAAGACUAUAAUAAAAAUACAUAGCAACAACUAUCUGACUUUAACCUAAGAUACUAAUUUACAUGAAUUAAUUAAUGUAUACAUUAAUUAGUUAUACUAAUAAAUAAAAACUGAUAAUACAUGCCAUAUAAAUGUUUUAAUUCUCUUUGUUUUAAUGCUCUUACUAAGGAACAUUUAAUUACACAAUAAAAUUUAAUACUUGAU